UACGUAGGGUGCAAGCGUUAAUCGGAAUUACUGGGCGUAAAGCGUGCGCAGGCGGUUAUGCAAGACAGAGGGGAAAUCCCCGGGCUCAACCUGGGAACUGCCUUUGUGACUGCAUGGCUAGAGUACGGUAGAGGGGAAUGGAAUUCCGCGUGUAGCAGUGAAAUGCGUAGAUAUGCGGAGGAACACCGAUGGCGAAGGCAGCCCCCUGGGCUAACACUGACGCUCAUGCACGAAAGCGUGGGGAGCAAACAGG
rnacentral:rRNA from 1 species